CGUGAGAUGUUGGGUUAAGUCCCGCAACGAGCGCAACCCCUAUCCUUUGUUGCCAGCACGUAAUGGUGGGAACUCAAAGGAGACUGCCGCGGACAACGCGGAGGAAGGCGGGGAUGACGUCAAGUCAUCAUGCCCCUUAUGUCCUGGGCUACACACGUACUACAAUGGGAUGGACAGAGAGCAGCGAAGCCGCGAGGCCAAGCGAACCCCAUAAACCAUCUCCCAGUUUCGGAUUGCAGGCUGCAACCCGCCUGCAUGAA
rnacentral:rRNA from 1 species